rnacentral:rRNA from 1 species
UACGGGGGGGGCUAGCGUUGUUCGGAAUUACUGGGCGUAAAGGGCGCGUAGGCGGCCUACUAAGUCGGACGUGAAAUCCCUCGGCUCAACCGGGGAACUGCGUCCGAUACUGGUGGGCUCGAAUCCGGGAGAGGGAUGUGGAAUUCCAGGUGUAGCGGUGAAAUGCGUAGAUAUCUGGAGGAACACCGGUGGCGAAGGCGGCAUCCUGGACCGGUAUUGACGCUGAUGCGCGAAAGCCAGGGGAGCAAACGGG